rnacentral:rRNA from 1 species
CCCUACGGGGUGCAGCAGGAAUCAAUGUUGGUGAAGCCAAUCGAAAGUUCGUAGAGGAUCAGGAGUAUCUUGAGCAGAUACCGGUUGCAGCUAAGCUUCUGGCAGAGUAUCCGGACAAGAUCGCAAUGCCGGUGGAUGUGGCCCUGAAUAAGAAUGGAGAGAGGAUCGACGUCGCAGUCUCCGCCCUUUCCAACGAUCUGCCUAUAGCGGACAUAGGUCUGGAGACCAUAGUCGAUUAUUCCAAAGAGCUAAAGGAUGCUCGGGUUACAGUCAUGAACGGGCCGGCAGGGAUAUUUGAGCAGGAGAAGUUCAAAUUGGGGACAUCUGAGCUCCUGAAGGCCUCAGCCGAGUCGGACUACUCCAUCGCCGGCGGAGGGCAUAGCGUGGCCGCCAUCGAACAGCUGGGGCUGGAGUCCAAGUUCUCUCAUGUGAGCAUGGGCGGCGGUGCGAGCAUCACCUACCUAUCGGGAGAGC